GUGAGGAAUAUUGGUCAAUGGACGAGAGUCUGAACCAGCCAAGUCGCGUGAAGGAAGACGGUUCUAUGAAUUGUAAACUUCUUUUGUGCAGGAAUAAAGUGGGUUACGUGUAACCUUUUGUAUGUACUGUACGAAUAAGGAUCGGCUAACUCCGUGCCAGCAGCCGCGGUAAUACGGAGGAUCCGAGCGUUAUCCGGAGUGAUUGGGUUUAAAGGGUGCGUAGGUGGCUUGAUAAGUCAGCGGUGAAAGUUUGCAGCUUAACUGUAAAAUUGCCGUUGAAACUGUCGGUCUUGAGUGCAAAUGAGGUAGGCGGAAUGUGUUGUGUAGCGGUGAAAUGCUUAGAUAUAACACAGAACUCCGAUUGCGAAGGCAGCUUACUGGGAUGCAACUGACACUGAUGCACGAAAGCGUGGGUAUCAAACAGGAUUAGAUACCCCAGUAGUCU
rnacentral:rRNA from 1 species